UGUGUGUGUGUGCGCGCACGUGCAUUUCGUCUAAUUUUUUGUGCAUGUUUCUGGUAUAUAGAUCACCUUAAAUCUAGAGCACAAACAUAUGCUUAAUUUUCCUAAAGAUUAUGACCAUUUGCCACUUAUAGCUAAAGUGGAGGUGUUUGAGUAUGCUCUGCAAAAUAGUGAAGGAAAUGACCUGGCAAGGGUGUUUUAGUUAAAAAGUUGCACUUUUGAGAAUUGGCUGGACAGGAGGACAAAUUAUACUAGAAGCUUGGCUGUCAUGAGCAUGGGAUUCUUUGUUAUUCUUUCAUGGAUGCCUAUAUAUUUUAAAACAUCAAUUGGUUUUGUUGGUCCUGGGAUUGCGCUCAAUGGUCUAACCAUGGCAAAGCACACAUCAAUAGCAUCUGCGUGGCUUACUUUAGCUGUUGGGCUAAAAUCAUUUAGUCAUUAUGGGUUCCUUGUGAAUCUUCAGGUUUCUUAAGAAGCAAGGUUUCAAAGGACAAUUUAAAGGAAGAGGUAUCUCAUGAACUCGUAGAUCGCCAUUUUGAUUGGUUUUUGAUGACGUUUGGAAGCAUACUUGCAAAUCAAGAUCAAGUGUUAAAUUUUUUUUUCCUGAACUGAUACUUGGUUCUAGUUGCAAAUCAAGAUUGAAUGCCGAUUUUUUUUUUGUGAACUCCAUGUUAGUUCAUUUUUGGAUUUGCUUUGAUGGUUUUUUUGUUAUACUUAAUGGAUUAUUAUUAAAUUUGUUUGAUGGAUAUAUUUUGAUUUAUAAUAUAAAUUUUUUGGUGAAUUUUUUUAUGGAGUGGCAUAUAAUAGCUAAUGGAUUUCUUAGUACAUUUAAAAGGUUAUUGGGAUAUGAAUAGGGAUAUUUGUAAAAUAAUAAUUUAAAUUGAAAUACAAAAUAUGGGACAAGUUUAGUGACGAAUUGUUUUCGUCAUUUGUAUUUGUUAUUAUGACAAAGUGAUUAUUUGUCGCUAAUAAAUAUUUUUUGUGACAAAAUUUACUAUAGUUUAUAUAUGAAGGUUUUCAUUAAUUUUGUUGUUUGGUGAUUAAAAAUUUCGUCAUGUAUAUAUAUUUUUGUUACGAAAUAUAUUUCGUCACCCAUGUAUGAUAUUUGGAGACGAAAA